rnacentral:lncRNA from 1 species
CCAGCUUUUGUCGAGCUACUUUUCAAGGAGGCUUUGAUGAACUCCAAUCUUGCUCAAGCUUUUACCAGAGGUAAUUCUCUUUGCUCUUAUUUCCUCUCUCUUAAGAGCUAUGGCUUGGUCAAUCGACCUAUUUACUUUUGUUUUUGCAGCAAUUGUUGCCCCACGAUGCAACCUAAGAGGAGGGUGGAGGGGUUGAAUCAGAUUUUUAGAAGUUUUAAGCAAGUAUGUGCACUUUAAAAGUUAAGUAGAAAGUGUAUGUAUUGCCCAGCUAUGCAACCUAAGAGAGAGG